CUGCUAGCUCCUUAAAGCUGACACUGUCUUGUUCAUCCUGCUCCCUUAAUACCAUCUUUGGGACCUGAAGAAUCUUAGUUUCUUCAUUUGCAAAACAUGGCUGGAAAUCACUCCUCCCGUGUAGAUUAAAUGAAUGUAAAUAAGGCUUUGCGGGCUUUAAGACCUGAAGUAAUUGCAAAGGAUUACACAUACAGAAAUGGGAAAAUGGAAGCUCAGAGGGAACAAGGGUCCAGCAGCUGCAGACAAAGCUCACUUCUGAUGUGUAUUGGCUUAGAGCCACGUGGGAGCCUGGAAUUUCUCUCCGACCAGCAGGAGCAACCAUCUGACAAAGCCCCUCCACCUCUGCACUUUCUAGGGCUCUGGCACCCCGGAAGAGCCCGAAUCUCUCUUUCCUCUUUAGGAGAGAGGCCAACAGUCAUCCUCAUUGUUUAAGGACAUUAGUUAGUACAGGAUCCGUUGUUCCACAAGUAAAAGCAGGAGUGCCCUUUUCCCAAGUAGGGAAUGACACCUUCUCACUUCCUGUGUCCCAGACAGACUGACCCACAGAUUCCCUGACCUGAGAGAUAACCUUUGAGGCCUUCCCGGCUGGCAGGAGGCUGAGGGCAAAGGUUCUCAAAUGCUUUUCAUCUGACCCUUUGGGCCUCUCCCUUGACGUGAGCAGCAAUGUGUGACAUGGUUAAGUGCUGGGACUCUGAGGUCCAGCCUCCUGGAGGCAGAACCUGGAUCCCUCUCUGUCACUUUCUACCUGGGUAUAUUACCCUAAUCACUUACUAUCUUAAAGCUUCUGCUUGCUCAGCUGUAAAAUGGAGAUAAAUAAUGUCUACUCGGCAGGAAUGUUAUAAAUAGUCAGUGUGUGUAAAGUGCACGGUGCAUGUAGCAUUUGGUCAUGCAUUUAUUCUUUGAGCACACCUGCUUAUCUAGUUAGUGUGUGCAGGUUAACGCAGCUGGAUUCCCAGGGGAUCGAGGGCACGUGUUUAAUGAGCAUUUCCUGUGUGCCAGCUGUGGCGCUGGCCACCGUCACACGUGUUAGCCUGUGUGAACAAUCCUGCUCACCCUUCACAGAAGCUCUGUGCAGAGAGGCAUUUCAGAGAUGGGGAAACUGAGGUACAGAGGACUUGAACGGUGUACGCUUUGUGAGGGUGGAGGGCACUUGCUUUGUCAUGUCCCUGCAGUGCCUAGCAAACUCCUGGCGCACGGGUGCUCAGUAACUGGUGAUCGAAUGAACCCCGUAUUCCUGAAGCAGGCCCCAAGGUACCUUUGCCUUCCACCUGCUUUUUCCUCCGUCUCUCUGGUCAACUCUUGCUCAUCUAUCAAGACACAGUUUAAAAGUCCGGCCCCAGCCCCCGACCCCCAGCAAUUUUGCAGAGCCCUCUUCUAAGUAAGCAGUUGUCCAGGCUCUCUUUGGUGAUGGCCACCGUGCUGUGAGCUCCCUAGAAGCAGGGGCCACUCCAGACUCAUUUCUCUCUGAAGCCCCAGCCCUGGCUGGUCACUGACCGCCGCUUGCUGUGAUCUGCAGCCUGCACGAGUGGAUCCAGUCCCGGAAAGGGUGGAGGCAGGUGUCAGCACAGGCUUCUUGCUUCCCCCUUCAGUGUUGCCCACCCUUCCUGUCAGCCCACCCUGCUGGUCUUGCAGGCUGAAACCCAGCGGUGAGAGGGACUGUCCAGGUGACCCUGCUGGCGCGUGUGGCACUCCAUGAUCUGGGGAUAGAGAUAAGCCUCCAUCUCCAGCCUCCCCUCCAAACCCCACGUACCCCAACAGCACUCCAGCCCUACCGAAACACCUUCCCCAAAGUCCAAAGAUGCUAUUCCUCUGCCCCCACUUCAUUCAUACAAAACAUUCCUGUUUAUCCCACAGAAUCCAUCCUAGGGGGCUCUUCUUCCACGAAGCCUGCCUCACGCGGUCUCCCUCUCUCUCCGGCGCUCUCCCUCUGUGGCCUCCUCUUCCCUCAGGCUCUGAUCCCAGCCUUUCUUUGCUUAUGGGACAGGGUCCUCAAGCUCCACGUGGUCCUCAAGUCCGGCGGGGUUGUCCAUCAGCAAGCCUGGUGUGCUUUGCUUGGUAUUCUUCAGAGCGCUGAGCCCUGGUACUCAGCAAACAGGCGACAAAUCAUGCUUGCAGCUGGCCUUGGCUGACAGCAGUGUGUCGUCUGCUGCUAAUCAUAUUUUGAAAAGUUUUAAAGUCACCAACAAUGAGAAUUUUUGAGAUUUUGCAUAAAAUAGUUCCCCCCCUUCAUUUGAAAAUGGAAAGGUUCAGACCCUUAUUUCCACCUGACACUUUCCCUAAAGCUGCAUAGUCACUAUUCCUGUAGGCAGCGUCUGUUCUCAUAAGUGCCAUGGUCCCCAUCCCCACUUACCACACCCACUUCCCUGGCCCUAAGGACAAGCGAGUUUGAGACCCUCGCUCUGAGCUGGAUGAGAGAAAGACAUUCUGGAAGCAAUCAGGAAAGGCAGACGGGAGGGGUCUUGGGUUAGGCACACCCCAUCGUCCUCCACAGGGACUAGCCCACGGGUUAUGGGUGUCUGGCCAGACUGGAUGAGAUAGACAUAAUCUGUUAUUUUAUAAAUGCUUAACAUCAUGUGCUUGCGUUAUCUAAUUUACCCUUCCUGUCAAUCCUAUGAAGCAGAUUGGAUGUUUAAUCCCAUUUUACAGCCGAGGAAACUGAGGUUCAGAGAGGUUAAGCAGCGUGCCCAAGCGGAAACAGCUAGCCGGUGGCAGGGCUGUGAUGGGCCCUAAGUCAUUCUGACUUGGGAAGCCGAGCUGGGUAGUGCCCUGCCCCAGCAUGGUCCCUUAUCACUUCCCUUGCACAGAGUGGCCUUUGCCAACUUCCCCUUCUAAAUCGCUGCCCUAUCACUCUGUUCACUUUCUCCACAGCCCUUCCACAGUUAAAAGUUAACUUAUUUUGCUUGGUUCCGUGUAUUUUUUUUUUAUCCGUUCCUGUCUCCCAGCACUGGGCUCUGAGCCAGGUUCCUUGUCUGUUGGGCUCAUCCCUGGACCCCAAGCUGUUAGCACACUUCAAAGUAGGCAGUUCAGAUUUGUUAAAUGAAUGUAUUUAACCCAGUGCCUGCACUGGGGGGCAGGGGGGGCACAGAGGUAAGAAGGUGGGGACAGGGAAGAGGCUGCUUUGUCCUGUGGCCACCAAAAGGACAUACGCCCUGCAGGUUACCAGCUUCCUCUGGUUUCAAGUUCUUCCACCUUACUCUCCUGAGCACGUAGAGGUGUAUACAAUAGGUGCUCAUUGAGCACUCAGUAUGUCUGUCUUGGCAUGCUGACGUCUUGACAUCAGCAAGGCAAUGCCUCUUAGUGUGGCUGUCUCCUUAUGGACAAGAUCCACGUCGCCCGCCCCUCCGCGUGCCUCUGUGGGCCUCACCGCGGC